rnacentral:lncRNA from 1 species
UGAUUUUAUUCAGUGUUUUCGUAAGUUGGAAAAGUUUGACUGGCACAGGAAAGCAUGUCCCAUUAAAUUAGCAAAUCUUGUAAUGGAAUUAAAGUUGUUCUGGUCAGACUCUGUGAGGCUUUCCAUAUCUGGCACUACAUAGCCUACUCAAAGCUAUUUCCCACUGUAGUCCACCUAUACCUGCUAACCAGGGUAUCUCUUCACUGUCCCACUGAGGUGACUUUCUGAUGUCACAGUCAUGUAGACUGUUUCCUCAUAAGAGUUACUCUCGGCCGGGCACGGUGGCUCACACCUGUAAUCCCAGCACUUUGGGAGGCCAAGGCAGGCGGAUCACAAGUUCAUGAGAUCGAGACCAUCUUGGCCAACAUGAUGCUGGUUUCUGCAGCAGCCUCUCUGCAACCUGAGGGCAGCAAUGCCGACAGGCAGCAAGCUGCAGGCACACUUGACAGAUGUGAAGAUCUGGGUUCUGGGGAUGCUGUUGAGCUGCUCGAUGAGCCCACUUUGGACCUGCCCUACCGCCAGACUUUUUGUGAUCCAAGUGCAAGGAAAUUACAGGGCUAUCAACUCUAUCUCUUUCCAAGACCAGAAAGUCGGCAGAUGGAGAACGGUUUCUAGAUGGGGAGGGAAUCUGCCUUUGGAACUUUUAGCGACCUGGUAUGGUUCAACAUUCCAUCACUAUGCAAAAAUAAAUAAAUAAAUUGCAGACCAACGUACAAAGGAAAGCAGCAAAGUUACUCUUCGCGGGGACGGUUGUGAACAAGGUAACAUCUUAGAGACAGACCCCGGGGUCUGUAGCUUUGCAUUAAAGCCAUAGUCUCUAACUGGAGGCAGCAAAAUGUUCUUCCGCCCCACUGGGGUGAACCUGGAAUGUGGAAGGACGGGAAAUAAUACAAAGUCACACGCUUUAGGUUCUACAACUCCUGACUGGCUGAAUUGGCCCGUCGAUUUACCUUGAGGCAGUUUUGGCGGGGUGGGGGCUGGGAUGGGGGAGGCGGUUGUAGUUUUCAAGGUGAAUUUACACACACACACACACACACACACACA